GGUGCUUUGAGACAGGCUCACGGCCGGCGAGUGCUGAGUCCAAUGGGUGAGGUGGGGCACGGCUCUACAACCCAAUUCAGACUACUCUCUCCCGGGC
rnacentral:RNase_P_RNA from 2 species